AUGGAUGGGGUCCCUUGGCUAUUCAGGAAGGAUCUCGUGGUUAUAGUGGAGUAUGAUGGCUUCAAUAACGUAUCUGACUAUGCCUAUGAUAAAAUCCAAGUCCGGGCAAGAAUCAAGGGACUGCUCGAUGGUCUUACAGGGAAGAAGGAUUUGGCUAAGAAGGUUGCCACAAAUGUGGGAGAACCACCGAUCACGGUGGUGGUCAAUGAAGGAAAGAUUAAUCCGUCGAGCUUUCUCCGUGCAAGAGUUUAUGUUGAUAUCAACAAGCCACUAGUGAGAUUUGUGCCAAUCACUUUUAAAGAGAGGAAGAAAUACGAUGUUUAUUAUGAAAAACUUUCAGAUUUUUCAUCUUCUGCGGGUGUAUGGGUCAUGUAG
rnacentral:rRNA from 1 species